rnacentral:rRNA from 1 species
AAUCUGCGAUAAGCCUCGGGGAGUUGAUAAACGAACUUUGAUCCGAGGAUUUCCGAAUGGGGAAACCCCGCUGGGCCCGCAAGGUGACCCAGUGACUCCCGCCUGAAUAUAUAGGGCGGGUAGAGGGAACGUGGGGAAGUGAAACAUCUCAGUACCC